rnacentral:rRNA from 1 species
GAGCGAGAACCAGUCCUUCGGGACUGGGGACAGCGGCGAACGGGUGAGUAACACGUGAGUCAUCCACCCUCGGUACCGGAAUAGCCCGGGGAAACCCGGAUUAAUGCCGGAUGGCCCAUCUGCCCUUCGGGGCGGCUGGAUAAGGUAGCUUCGGCCUCCGACCGAGGACGAGCUCGCGGCGGAUUAGCUUGUUGGCGGGGUAACGGCCCGCCAAGGCGACGAUCCGUAGCUGGUCUGAGAGGACGAUCAGCCACACUGGGACUGAGACACGGCCCAGACUCCUACGGGAGGCAGCAGUGGGGAAUAUUGCACAAUGGGCGAAAGCCUGAUGCAGCGACGCCGCGUGAGGGAUGAAGGCCUUCGGGUUGUAAACCUCUUUCAGCAGGGAAGAAGCGCAAGUGACGGUAUCUGCAGAAGAAGCACCGUCUAACUACGUGCCAGCAGCCGCGGUAAU